rnacentral:rRNA from 1 species
UGAUGCGCCAUGCCGCGUGUAUGAAGAAGGCCUUCGGGUUGUAAAGUACUUUCAGCAGUGAGGAAGGUGGUAGUGUUAAUAGCACUAUCAUUUGACGUUAGCUGCAGAAGAAGCACCGGCUAACUCCGUGCCAGCAGCCGCGGUAAUACGGAGGGUGCGAGCGUUAAUCGGAAUUACUGGGCGUAAAGCGCAUGCAGGCGGUCUGUUAAGCAAGAUGUGAAAGCCCGGGGCUCAACCUCGGAACAGCAUUUUGAACUGGCAGACUAGAGUCUUGUAGAGGGGGGUAGAAUUUCAGGUGUAGCGGUGAAAUGCGUAGAGAUCUGAAGGAAUACCGGUGGCGAAGGCGGCCCCCUGGACAAAGACUGACGCUCAGAUGCGAAAGCGUGGGGAGCAAACAGGAUUAGAUACCCUGGUAGUCCACGCCGUAAACGAUGUCUACUUGGAGGUUGGUGUCUUGAACACUGGCUUUCGGAGCUAACGCGUUAAGUAGACCGCCUGGGGAGUACGGUCGCAAGAUUAAAACUCAAAUGAAUUGACGGGGGCCCGCACAAGCGGUGGAGCAUGUGGUUUAAUUCGAUGCAACGCGAAGAACCUUACCUACUCUUGACAUCCAGAGAAUUCGCUAGAGAUAGCUUAGUGCCUUCGGGAACUCUGAGACAGGUGCUGCAUGGCUGUCGUCAGCUCGUGUUGUGAAAUGUUGGGUUAAGUCCCGCAACGAGCGCAACCCUUAUCCUUGUUUGCCAGCACAUAAUGGUGGGAACUCCAGGGAGACUGCCGGUGAUAAACCGGAGGAAGGUGGGGACGACGUCAAGUCAUCAUGGCCCUUACGAGUAGGGCUACACACGUGCUACAAUGGCGUAUACAGAGGGCUGCCAACCAGCGAUGGUGAGCGAAUCCCAGAAAGUACGUCGUAGUCCGGAUUGGAGUCUGCAACUCGACUCCAUGAAGUCGGAAUCGCUAGUAAUCGUGGAUCAGAAUGCCACGGUGAAUACGUUCCCGGGCCUUGUACACACCGCCCGUCACACCAUGGGAGUGGGCUGCACCAGAAGUAGAUAGCUUAACCUUCGGGAGGGCGUUUACCACGGUGUGGUUCAUGACUGGGGUGAUCG